rnacentral:rRNA from 1 species
CCUACGGGUGGCAGCAGUGAGGAAUCUUGGUCAAUGGACGCAAGUCUGAACCAGCCAUGCCGCGUGCAGGAAGACGGCUCUAUGAGUUGUAAACUGCUUUUGUACGAGGGUAAACGCAGAUACGCGUAUCUGUCUGAUAGUAUCGUACGAAUACGGAUCGGCUAACUCCGUGCCAGCAGCCGCGGUAAUACGGAGGGUUCAAGCGUUGUCCGGAUUUAUUGGGUUGAAAGGGUGCGUAGGCGGUCGGAUAAGUUAGAUGUGAAAUCCCGAGGCUCAACUUCGGAAUUGCAUCGGAUACUGGUCGACUAGAGAGUAGAUGCGGUAGGUGGAAUGUAUGGUGUAGCGGUGAAAUGCUUAGAGAUCAGACAGAACACCGAUUGCGAAGGCAGCUUACCAAGCUACUUCUGACGUUGAGGCACGAAAGCGUGGGGAGCAAACAGGAUUAGAUACCCGGGUAGUC